rnacentral:rRNA from 1 species
UACGGGGGGAGCAAGCGUUGUUCGGAUUUACUGGGCGUAAAGGGCGCGUAGGCGGCCACCGCAAGUCGACUGUGAAAUCUCCGGGCUUAACUCGGAAAGGUCAACCGAUACUGCGGGGCUAGAGUGCAGAAGGGGCAACUGGAAUUCUCGGUGUAGCGGUGAAAUGCGUAGAUAUCGAGAGGAACACCUGCGGCGAAGGCGGGUUGCUGGGCUGACACUGACGCUGAAGCGCGAAAGCUAGGGGAGCGAACGGG